rnacentral:lncRNA from 1 species
CCGCGCAGAGCCCGCGCCAGGGCCGCCGGCCGCAGAGCAUUAAAACGUGCAGGCACCAGAAGGCACUUCCUGUCGGUGAAGAAGACCUGUCUCCGGUGUCACGGGCAUCCUGUGUUUUGCAAACGGGGCUGACCUCCCUUCCUGGGGAGCAGGAAGGGUCAGGCGACAUCCUCACUGACCGAGCAAAGAUUGACAUUCGUAUCAUCACUGUGCACCAUUGGCUUCUAGGCACUCCAGUGGGGUAGGAGAAGGAGGUCUGAAACCCUCGCAGAGGGAUCUUGCCCUCAUUCUUUGGGUCUGAAACACUGGCAGUCGUUGGAAACAGGACUCAGGAUAAACCAGCGCAAUGGAUUGGGGGACGCUGCACACUUUCAUCGGGGGUGUCAACAAACACUCCACCAGCAUCGGGAAGGUGUGGAUCACAGUCAUCUUUAUUUUCCGAGUCAUGAUCCUCGUGGUGGCUG